GUUUACCAACCUCGAACUGCUAUCAAAUCUCAAGUACUCGCCGAUUUCGUAGCUGAUUUUAGUCAAAGCAUACAUCUAGAAGCAGAAAAAAAUUACAAGUUUUUAAUGGAGCUAAUCUGGGGACUUGGCUAUUAUUUACUAAUGGUUCAUUUAAUGUAAAGGGGGUAGGUUUAGGAAUUGUUCUUAUACCACCUACGGGUGAAAUAAUUAGACAAGCAAUAAAAUGUCACCCUGUAACUAAUAACGAAGCAGAGUAUCAAGCUGUGAUUGCAGGUUUGGAACUAGCAUUAGAACUUGGUAUCACGCAAAUUGUAAUCAAAAGUGAUUCACAGCUCCUAGUCAAUCAAAUAUGGGGACUUACGUGGCUAGAGAAACUCGAAUGCAAGAGUAUCUUAGAAAGGUACGUGAGUUAAUAAGACAGUUCCAAACUUGGAAAGUGAUGCAAAUCCCAAGAGAAGAGAAUUUGGAAGCAAACACCGUAGCCAACCUCGCAUCUGCAGCAGAUAUAGAAAAAGAUGUGAAUGCCUCAAUUAUACAUUUAUUCCAUUCCGUUCUUGACCCUGAUAAAAAUGAGGUAAACUUUAAUCACUUAACUUGGGAUUAGAGAAAUGAGAUCGUGUCUUUUUUGCAGCACGGAAUCGUACCUGAAGACAAGGUGAAGGCUCAUACACUAAGAAUGAAAGCCAUUCGUUACUGCUUAUAUCGAGGAAACCUUUACCGUAAAAUGUUUGGUUGACCAUUAGCCAAGUGUCACGGACCUUCUCAAACAGAAUAUGUGAUGAGAGAAGUACAUGAGGGGCAUUGUGGAAAUCAUGCAGAAGGCAUAUCACUUUCGAAAACAUUGAUUCGAGCGGGAUAUUACUGGCCUAUAAUGGAAGAAGAAGCGAAUGAUUUCGUAUCUAAAUGUGAUAAAUGUCAAAGGUAUGAAAAUAACAUGCAUAGACCAGCAGAGUUAUUACAUCCUGUCAUAGCUCUGUGGCCCUUCAUGAAAUGGGGAAUGGACAUCGUAGGACCCAUACCUCAGGCAAAAGGUCAGGUAAAGUUUCUACUCCUACUUACUGAUUAUUUCACUAAAUGGGUAGAAGCAGGGCAUUUAAACAGGUACGAGAAAAGGAAGUUAAGGGUUUCAUUUGGAGAAAUAUAAUUUGCCACUUUGGUGUACCAAAGGAGAUCGUGUGCGAUAUUGGACCACAAUUUAUAGGAGCACAAGUCACUGAAUUCUUUCAAAGUUGGCAAAUCAAAAGAAUUACAUCGACUCCAUAUCAUCCAGUAGGUAAUGGAAAAGCAGAGUCUACAAAAACAUAAUUUUCCGCUUUGGUGUUCCAAAGGAGAUAGUGUAUGAUAAUGGACCACAAUUUAUAGGAGCUCAAAUCACAUAAUUCUUUCAAAGUUGGCAAAUUAAAAGAAUUACGUCGAUACCGUAUCAUCCAGUAGGUAAUGGGAAAGCAGAGUCUACAAACAAGGUAAUUAUCAACAACCUAAAGAAAAGGUUACAAGAAUCAAAAGGCAAUUGUCCUUAAGUAUUACCAACGGUAUUAUGGGCAUAUCGAACGAUAGCAAAAACAAGUACAGAAGAAACACCAUUUUCAAUGGUCUAUGGUGAGAAAGCUUUGAUACCGGUUGAGAUAGGUGAACCUAGUACACGACGUGUUCAAACAAAGGAAAACUCGAACAAUGAAGUUACGAGUAAAUUUUGAUUUACUUGAAGGGAGAAGAGAAGCUGCGUUGAUAAGGAUGGCGGCUCAAAAGCUAGUAAUUGAGCGAUAUUACAAUAGGAAAGCACGCCUCAGGGUUUUUAAAAUUGGUAACUNNNNNNNNNNNNNNNNNNNNNNNNNNNNNNNNNNNNNNNNNNNNNNNNNNNNNNNNNNNNNNNNNNNNNNNNNNNNNNNNNNNNNNNNNNNNNNNNNNNNNNNNNNNNNNNNNNNNNNNNNNNNNNNNNNNNNNNNNNNNNNNNNNNNNNNNNNNNNNNNNNNNNNNNNNNNNNNNNNNNNNNNNNNNNUAGAGACAAUGGAGGGCAAGGUUUUACCUUCACAUUGGAAUGUUGUUCAUUUAAAGAGGUAUUACUUCUAAGGAAAGUACCCACGGUCAGGUAUCGCCAUAUUAAAUUUUUUCUUUUGAAUUGUUAAAAUUAUACUAACGAUUUUAGAUGCUAGGCAAAAACCAUAACUCGUGCCAAAUGAUGAGUCACGACCUGCACGACGAAUUGGAAUACUAUUAAAUUCCUAGCUAGGGUUACAUUAAUCUAAUGGAAAUACACACGAGUUAGGUAGUCUUCAUCUACAAUCGCACCUCCGUGUCCCGUAUAUUUUUCUGUUUCAGAAAAAGGACCAAAAAUUGGGAGCAAAUACACAAGUGUUCGAGGCUUCAUACUUCACCGCUCAAACACUUGGGGGAAUGUACUAUAUACACACGAGUAUGUGUAGAAAUAGAUACGAGAGAGCAAAAUUCAAGAUUUACAAAUUAAAUCAAGUUACGAGAAUUCAAGUAUCAAUCUAAGAACACUCAUCAUAGUGUUUUCUCCUUUUUAGAACAAUAAAGUCAUUGCUUAAACCCUUCCUAAGUAUGUAAAGUUAGGGAUAUGAUUAUGUAUCAGAACAUGUUAUGAAAAAACCUUAACCCUUCCUAAGUAUGUAAAGGCAGAGAUAUGAUUAUGUAUCAGAACAGGUUAUGAAAAAACCUUAACCCUUCCUAAGUAUGUAAAGGCAGGGAUAUGAUUAUGUAUCAGAACAAGUUAUGAAAAAACCUUGUAUAUUUUGUAAAUCUGUUAAAAGAAAAUAGUUGCGUGAAAGUUAUAGAUGUAUUAACCCUUCCUAAGUAUGUAAAGGCAGGGAUAUGAUUAUGUAUCAGAACAAGUUAUGAAAAAACCUUGUAUAUUUUGUAAAUCUGUUAAAAGAAAACAGUUGUGAGAAAGUUAUAGAUAUACUUCAAUACAUGUAAUACUCAAGAAACAUAUCAAAAUUCAUGAAUAAAAACUUUUCAUAAGUUGUUUUAUGCGAAACAUGUAUGUUCCUAUUUCUUUCAUCGUAUGAUAACACCAUUAUGAAGUUGAGACGUCUUCUUCAUUAAGUGUCGAUAAAUCAAAGGUCCCUCUUUUAUUUUUCCUCAUGAUGAAAGUGCAUGAGAAGAAUUAUGAAAGCAUUUUCUGAAAAGGGUAAAAAUGCUAACUUAUUCUCUAAGUCCUAAAAAGAAAAAUAGGCAAGAGUAAGGUAAAAAUAAAUUUAUUCUGCAAAGACUAAAUAGUAAAUAGACAAGGAUAAAAUGAAGAAGUAUUAUACAAACUUCUUAACAUAAAAAGUGAAGCUAUUACAAUACAUUUGUUUUUCCAAAACAGAUGCCCCAUUAUAGAAAUUGGGGACUUCAUUAAUUAAAUCAUCAAAAUCAAAUAAAAGAGGUAGGGUUAAACAUUUUCACUGGUCACUGAGGAGAUUGGUACGGUAAAAGUCGCAGCCUCAUUACGCUUGGUAGAAACUUCUAAAGAAGCAACAAUUGGGGUAGUCUCAGCUGAAAUUGAAGUAUCAACAUUUUCAAGAGAAGCAGUAGACAUGUUCCUAAAGGCUGUAUUAUAGGUAAGUUACCCUCGGUCACUGGAACUAUAACUUCAAUAACUUCAACUGUUGACUCUAAGUUCAAAGGCUCUUCAACCCCGGGAUUUUCCACUGUUGGAGAGGAGAUGUCAAUUACCUGAUCAGGAGAAGGAGUUUCAGUAGCUUGCUCAUUCUUCUCAAUCAUGUCUAAAACUUUGGCCAACUCAGAUUGCAAGUCAAACUUUUCCUGAAAAGUCUCCAGUAAAGCAUCACGGCGAGAUUUCAAGAAGGCCCAGUUACUCAUAAUUGAAAUUCUCAACUAAGGAAUUGUAAUCCUUCUCCAGGUUUUUAUAAUCUAUUCCCCACGUAGCUAAAGUGUUCUUUUGUGUCAUGCUCAGCUAAGUGAAAAUCAAGUGAAGAUUGAAGGUUGACACAAGAACUCUCCAACACACGAACCUUAUCUGAAGAGAUCCUCAAAUCAGUCCGAGUCUGGUUCAAAGAUUGCACUAGUUCUUUGGCAUAUUUUUCUUUUUUGUCUCCAUUAGUGCUUUAAGUUCUUUGAUUUCUUCAGUAACCUUUAAUAAAGAACCCCUCAAAGUCUCUUUAUCCUUUUGUGCUUGGCUCGUAGAAGCUAUGGAAAUUCCUAAUUCCUAGGAUAAAGCCCGAUUCUGUUGUUCAAGUUGAAACUUAGAAGACUGCAACUCCUCAAUGUCCCCUAAAGCACCCUCGAAUUGUUCUUUCCAAUUUGAGCCUCAAGUUGGGCUUCUUCAGAUAUUCUUUUAGCUUCAUCAGCAGCGUUAGUAGAUUCACGUGCCAUUUUCUCUAAAACAUAGAUCCUCCCCAUCAAUUCAGUUCCGAUUAAGUUCGCCUACAAACAUAAGGCAUAAAAGUAAGAACUUAAGGCUAAGGAAAAGUAAGUAGUCACGGGUGAAGAAUUUACCUUCAGUGUUGAAUGAAGUUGUCAUUCAUCAAGGUGUAUCAGUUGUGGCUCCGCAUCUUUGUUCUUUCCACAUCUCCGAUAAGAGGCUCGAGCAAGACAUCCGCUCCACCUGUCCUCCUUAAAAGACUAUGAGUAGCAGGUACUUCAAGAGUAACAUUUCUCAUAGCCAUACCUUUGUUGUUUGGGCCAGGUUCGGAAUGAGGAACAGAGGAGGAAGGAGUAGUAGAAGAGGUGAAAAUGACAGCAGCGGCAGAAAUCAAAGUUGGAGCUGAGGGAAUAGGCAUGGGGGCUAAAAAAGGAACCGAAACAGCGAAAGAUGUCAAAGGGGAAGAAACAGGUACGGUGAAAGGAGAAAUAGAAGAAACUGGAGAAAUAGGAAUGGAAGUAGAUAAGGGAAUUUCAUUGAAGACUAGGCCAAGUUCCCCACUUUGAAAACCACUCUCGAAGAGACGGUGAACAGAUUCACUCGUGUCUCUAGGAGCAAGAUCUUCAUCGGAUUGGAUUAAAACAGGCUUGGUAAUGGAAGUAACUGUAGAAGAAAUGAUUGCAGCAGAGGUAAGAACAGGAGAAUCUUAAAUUUCUUCAUCCAAAAUGACAUGUCUCCUAGCUCUUGGUUUAGAUACCAAAGAGGUAUUAUCUUCUUCUUCGUUUUCAGCUUCCAUUACCAAAAUAUUUCUUUUGGCUAAAAGUGCUUUAGCCUUGUCCAAACCAAGGGCAGAGUUGGCAGUUGUACGCAUGGCUAUAGCAACAUCUGCUGCCAUCCCUUUUAUUCCAAAUCUUGAUAAAAAGAAAGAUUUGAGUUCAUCAUCAAAAUUUAGUAUACAUAUCUAGAAAGUAUACAUGAAAAGAAAUAUAUACCGUGGGUUUUCACUGUCCACCCGUGUAAGGAGGAGAUAGAUUUCCAAGUCAUAUCUUUCUUAGGAGCAACUUUCAAAAUGAGUCUAUCCAACCACGAAAAUUGGGAACGGGUUCCACAUCUCCCAUGGAUAUCUUCCUUAUGAGCAACAUUCAAAAUUGAGUCUAUCCAACCACGAAAAUUGGGAACGGGUUCUACAUCUCCUAUGGUUGCCACAAAAAAUCAAAAAGGGGAUAAAUUUAAAGAGAAAAUCAGAACCUCAUAAAAUAGGUACGGAAAAAGUAAAACAGAAACUUACGUGAAAAAUUCCACAUCUCGGGGAAGGGAAUGUUUGAUUCUCCCAAUAAAUCAAAUGUACGAACACCAAUGUAACGAAGAUACCACCCACGAUAUUUAUCGUCAUCAGCGUUUACUAAACUUUUUUACUCCUUACAGUAAGGUAAAAAUUCAUGGCGUAACAAACUAGGGUGGUAUAAGUGGAUGAGAUGGGGGAAGGUGAAAGUAACUUUUGCUUUAUUAGAUAAAAAUCUUAAACAAACUAUAGCCCUCCAAACUAAAGGUCCAAUAUGGGCUAAGCAAAUGUUGAAAAAUCUACAAAAACAAAAUCUUAAACAAGCUACAGCCCUCCAAACUAAAAGCCAAUCUGGGCUAAGCAAAUAUUGAAAAAUAUACAAAAAUCGAUGAUAACUGGGCCUAUAGCAGGUUUAAACCCCAAAGUGAAGGGGUAGGUAUAAACAUAGGGAUAUCCAUUUCUAUAAGAUGAGAUUCUCUGUCUUAUGAAAGCGAUUGAUAAAUGAACGACGCCCUCUUUCCAGUUGCAAUCUUUCCUAACAGUGGGGAUAUUAAGUUCAUUUAUAAGAGAGGGAUAAGCAUCAGUCUUUUCCAAUUUUGCAAUUUUCUUUUGAAGGGACGCUUUGUCACUUGCAAAAAACAAAUCACUUGGUAUAAUUUCUUCAACUUUAGGCUCUAGAGAAGGCUCUGAAAUUUCUUUACCUUUUGAAGAUUGAGUUUUAGAAGAGGAACCUUUAAUUCCUGAACCAGUUGAGCCUCCGCGUGUAGAUCUCAUACUUCGGAGUCUACCUCUUCUGCCUAUUAAAUGUUUAAUAGGAGCAGGUGCAUUAGGGAAUUGAUCGAGAAGUAAAACCUUUCUGGGGUUAGGGUUUGGAGAUGCCAUUGUAAGAUAGUUUUGAAGAANNNNNNNNNNNNNGCUAGAUGGAAGUUGAUGAAGAAGAAGACAAAGAAAGUAUGAAUUAAAAGUUUAUAUGGGAACAACCGUCAAAAUUAAGGGGAGCAAUGAUGGAAAGUCUAUAAUAAAGAUAACAAUCACUUCGUAAACAGAGGAAAUUGAACAGGCCUAGAAACAUGGGAACAAAACUGCAGAACAACCCAGAAGAUGACACGUGUACAGAGCAUUAAAUGAGAAAGACAGAUGAGACGUCGAUACUGACACAUAGGUGCUUUAGCACCAAAAAACAACAACAACAACAACCCAGUGUAUUCCCACAAGUGGGGUCUGGAGAGGGUAAUAUGUACGCAGAUCUUACCCCUACCCCGAGGGACAGAGAGGAUGUUUCCAGGUGACCCUCGGCUCAAGAAGGAAACAAUUGACAAAAACAAGUGGCGAUAUACUAGUACUAGCCAUGAACUCAUAAUAAAUAACAUAAAAUACACAACAUAACAUAAAAUAACAUAAAUAAUAAAAUAACAACAAUAUAAGGAAUAUAAGAAAUACGAGAAAGAGGAAAGUAUACUAAUAUCUAUAAUAUAAAGCCAUGUAUCAGUAGUUGAUUCUAUGCCUAACUACUACUGUCUAGUCUCACUCUAGCGCGUUGUAGAAAUAUUCCCAACUUUCCCCCUUACCUAAAACCUUAAUGCUCGACCUCCACAAUCCUCUGUCAAGGGCCAUGUCCUCAGUAAUCCUAAGUCGUGUCAUAUCCUGCAUAAUCACAUCUCUCCAAUACUUCUUAGGUCUCCCUCUAUCUCUCCUUUCUUUCUCUCGUGAAUAGUGGCGAAUAAGAGGCCCCCUUUUUAGGAUUCAUUCUCUUGGUAUAUAUAGAUGCGAGCUUCACGAGCUGUCAAUAAGUGGCGAUGACCACCUUAUGGGUUCGCCUUCAAUAGGUCGUUGCCUUGUUGGUCGAAUUGGAUAAGGGUUAAAUAUCGUUGGCUCUGAGUGGCCAUACGCCUUAUUAGACAUGAAUUAACUUAGACCGGGAUUAACUUCGUUAAUUAUCAUGGGGUCGGAUUCCGGCCCAUACAAAUAUAAUACAAAUAUAAUUAACCAGUAAAUUCGAAUUUCAACCACCAAAUAAAAAUUUUAAGAUUCCAUAAUUAAAGAGCUACGUAGUCUUGGUGAAAAGGAAUGAGUUGGAGGAUAGCCCUAAAGUUUUUUUUAAAUUUAAAAUGUCCAAUUUUGUGCGUUGUGAAAGGAAAAUUUACCUCCUAUAGAAAAGGUAUACACCCUAUAGUAAAAUACGUAUUUAUGAUGUAUACUAUCAUUGAAGCAUGAAAUAAGGCAUGAAAUACGCUAUUUAUGUUGUUCCUCUCUCUUAAUGUUUAAGGUGAUUGUCGUUACGGUAUUGAUGAAUACAUGGAGCGAAUACACAUGAAUACAAGCGCAUACAACUGGGCUGUCCUGAUUUUAGGCGUAUUUUACUAUUGUAUGCAUAAAUACAACAGCGCAAAUACAUGACAUGCGCGUACAACUGGACUGCCAUGAUUUUAGACACUUUUUGCUAUUGUAUUCAUGAAUACAUUGCACAAAUACAUGUGAUACAUGCGUGUAUAGUUUGACUGUCCUGAUUUUAAAAACUUUUUAUUGCUCUAUUCAUGAAUACAACGACGUGAAUACAUGCUAGUAUAACUGGAUUGCCCUGAUUUUAGGAGCUUUUGCUGUUGUAUUCAUGAAUACAUGGCGCGAAUACAUGCGCGUACAACUAGACUACCCUGAUUUUUAAGCGCUUUUUGCUGCUAUAUUCAUGAAUGCAACAUUACAAAUACAUCGAAUACGCUGCCGUAACAACUGAAUAGUAACUAUAGGAAGUAAUUAUGUAUAUAAUAGCUAUAGAAAAUUAAUAGCCACUAAACAAUAAUGAUUUCUGAAAAUUCCUCUUUGUCAAAGGCAGGGACAAAAUAAACGCCAAUCCAUAGAGGGACAAUCAGCGUUAAAUUUUGUAUUUUCUAAUAUAUUAUUUUAAUUUUGGGGUUAGAAUUUUUGAAUUAUCCAAUAAAUUUUAUAGUCCAUAUAUAACUCAAAAUAAAGCUCAAACCAAAAAUAACUCAGUACCAUUUACCAAUAAAAGAAAUUCAUUCAACAUUUGAAAUCUCAAUAUCGUUAUAUUUUUUUUUAGUUUUGACAGUGAAGCAUAUAACUUAGUUUUAUUUUUUCUUUAAUGUUUCAUCAUGUUAUUAACACUUAAUAGUGAUACUUAUUUUUGCACGACUUAGUAUUUUUAGGCUAUUUUUGUUUUAAUUUGGGCUUAUUAACAAAAUAAAAUUAAUGAAAUUUUAGUAUUUUUAUUUUAUGUUAUUUUCUUGAAAAAUACCUUAUUUUAUUGUAUCUUAUUAUGACUAAAAAAAUAUUGGAAGAAAAAAAAAUAUUUUGUGUUAUGAAGAGUUCAUCAAAAUGUAGUAUGAAAAUUGAGAAAAUAAAAAAUAAUGAGAUUGAAAACUAGACUUUUGUUGGUUUAUUUAGGUUUAUAAAUUUAAAAAGCCAACACAAUUAGUUUGAUGUGAUAAAUAAAGAACCUGAACUAACUCAACUUAUGUACCCACUACUUGUCACCUAAAGCAACUUUUGAAUCCAUUUUAUCACUUUUUGGAAUCAACAAUCACUAUAUUAUAAAGAAAUCUCUUUUUAUUCUAUUUGUACAGUAUAAUUAUUGACGAAAUAAAUUUAAUUGAAACUUCUUCCGUCUUACUAGCUCCACCCCCGACCAAAAAUUCUCUAAAAUUUUCAUUAGCCUAUAGGUUUCCAACAAGACUGAAAACUCAUGGCUAACAUAAUACAUACAAAUUACGUGUUUAAAUCUUAGUUUCAACUAAUGAAUAAUAUAUGUAUCCGUUUGAACACUCAAACUUGAAAAAAUGAGUAUUAAUAAAUACGUUCAUCAGAGUGUGUACAUUAAUUGCGCUGACAUGUAUAACACAUUAUGUUAGACUAUUUAUUCAUUGCCAUGUGUUACUUGUGGAUCAUAUUUUUAAAUAUAAAAUGAUAGAUAAAAGUUACAAAUACAAAAAGGAAAAAAAAAGGCUGAAACAUACUACACAAAACUUUGCUCCGCGGCUACUACAACCCACUCACAUCCCACGUCGGUGAUCUGAAGCCAUCGACACCGCACAAACAUUUCCGAUUUCCAGCUAGACAAAGAGCCCUAGUUUAAGUAUCUAAGUGAAAGAUCGUGCCAACUUUAAAUCUCUGUGUAUGUAUUACGUCAUUCUUUUAUUGUACUCUAUUUCCACUAAGUUUGAAUUUGUAUUCCGUAUAUUUCUGGUUUUUAUUCUUUCAUUUAUGGUGCAGCUCUUUUUGAAAAGUUUACAUUGACCCCUUUUUCUGCGUCUUCUGAAUGGCAUGUUGUGCUUUUGUCACGGACGCAUUUCAAUAUUUGGAACUAGACUUCAUAGUCAAUGCUUUACUUAUCACUCUAUCAUUAACUAACUGUUUCUUCUUAUUUUUCUUUUUCUGUCCACAUUCAAUGUUGCAUUCACGUUUGACUUUCUUACUGAGUGGAAUGUUUAGUUUUUUUCCACUUCUGUCACAAUACAUUAAAUGUUACGUAGAUUAGCUAAGUUAAUAGAAAAAGUUUAUAGUUAUUUUAUGUGGUCAGACAUUGAGGGAUUCCAAAUGUACAAUCCCCAUACAGUUGAUUAUAUAUAUACUUAGUAUAUAUAUUGUGGUAUAUUAGCUAAUAAAUUACGAGGUGUAGAAGAAUUAGGAAUUAGAGUACUCUGGUCAGCCUAAAAAGGGAAAUGGGAAAAAGAGAAAAAGAAGAGACUUAAAUGGUUCUUGUUUAAAUUCUAAAGGUUGAAAUAGUGGCCAGUACAAGAAAUGUCAUAUUUUCUUUUCCUUAAUAUUGUCUAAAAGUUAAAGAAUUCUUAACUUUUCAUGCCUUUUGAUUGGAAAUCAUUCCCCCUUUACAUGAACUCAAUUUUCAUUUCAUUUGCAAAAAAAUCAUCUCUUUCUCAAAUAUUUCUGUGCCAUUUGAUCCAGUAAUGUUUGAUAAAUACUGAUAAUUUUCGGAUUGAGAAUCAGAACAAAAAAAUCAAUUAGAUGAUAAUGUGUUGGUUGGUUUAGAAUAUUUUCUCCUUAUUUUCUGGCCUAAUUUCGAAAAAAAUUGAUUCAAGAAUGCAAAAGGGAGCCUAUUCAAUCAAGGAAAAUGGAAAUGCGCAUUUGCUAAAAAUAUUUUCCAAUUCCUUAACGAGGAAUUUAGAGUCACAUGAUGCUUGACAAUGUCCGUUCAUUAUUCAUUAUUUGGACUCUUAGGAAUAAGAAAUCGUGGAAAUUAUUGACCAAUUUUUAGUGUUACAUGUUCCUAGCACAUCCACUUGUGUCUUUCCUAAUCCUUUCUCCCCCUCCCCCCCCCCCCCCCCCCGCCCCCCCCUAUCCCAAAAUAUCCUCCAACUCACUCUUCUACAUUUGCUCAAAAAAUGGCCUCUCAUUUUCAUCUCUUUCUUGCCUCCUUUGUUGUUCUUCUCUUCAUCUCACCUUCUACAUCUCUAACUUGCUCAUCUCAAACAUUUUCCAGCAACACCAAAUUCACCAAUUGUACUGAUCUUCCUUCUCUCAAAUCUUUCCUCCACUGGACCUUUGACCCCACUAAAUCCACUCUCUCUGUUGCCUUCAUUGCUUCUCCAGCUUCUCCUGAUGGUUGGAUUGCUUGGGGUCUCAACCCCACUGCCCCAGCUAUGGUUGGCACACAAUCCCUUAUGCUCUCAAAUCUUUCCUCCACUGGACAUUUGACCCCACUAAAUCCACCCUCUCCGUUGCCUUCAUUGCUUCUCCAGCUUCCCCUGAUGGUUGGAUUGCUUGGGGUCUCAAUCCCACCGCCCCAGCUAUGGUUGGUACACAAUCCCUUAUAGCAUUCAAAGAUCCAAAAGGAGCCAUGGUUGUCAAAACUUAUAACCUUACUUCUUACAAAUCAAUUACAGAGUCUAAGCUUUUGUACAAUGUGUUGGAUUCUAAAGCAGAGUCAUCUAAUGGGACCAUGAAAAUCUUUGCCACGUUGGAGUUGCCGGAAAAUACGACGACGGUGAACCAAGUAUGGCAGGUGGGACCCGCGGGGAAAGAUGGAAAGCCGGUGGUACAUAAGUUUGAUACUGAAAAUUUGGCAUCUAAAGCUACUCUAGAUUUGGCUGCUACUUCUUCUGCCGGUGAUGGGAAUAAGAAUGCUGGGUCCUCUGUAAGUAAUAGUAAUAGUGGUAGUCAAAGUGGAAAUGAGACUGGAGGAUCUUCAAGAAUUUUGAAGAGUGAAAAUGGUAUUUUUGCCUUUUUGUUCUUCCUCGGAGUUUUGCUUUUGCAGCUUUAGAUGUGCUUUUAGUUUAAUUUUUGUCUGUUUUUUGUUUUGGCAAUGUAAUAACGACUGCUAGUGGUAGUGAAAAAGGAAACCAAUCUACAAAUAUUCCACAUUUAUGUUUAAUUGUAUACUACAUUUUAUUAUAAUGUUGCUUUAUCAUUCUAACCUGCUUGUUCUCUAAGCAUUUUAGCUAACGU
rnacentral:lncRNA from 1 species